rnacentral:tRNA from 1 species
GCGAUCGUAGCUCAGAUGGCAGAGCGCCCGGCUCUUACCCGGGGGGUCGCUGGUUCGAGGCCAGCCGGUCGCACCA